rnacentral:rRNA from 1 species
GCAAGUCGAGGGGCAUCAGUUUGGUUUGCUUGCAAACCAAAGCUGGCGACCGGCGCACGGGUGAGUAACACGUAUCCAACCUGCCUCAUACUCGGGGAUAGCCUUUCGAAAGAAAGAUUAAUAUCCGAUAGCAUAUAUUUCCCGCAUGGGUUUUAUAUUAAAGAAAUUCGGUAUGAGAUGGGGAUGCGUUCCAUUAGUUUGUUGGCGGGGUAACGGCCCACCAAGACUACGAUGGAUAGGGGUUCUGAGAGGAAGGUCCCCCACAUUGGAACUGAGACACGGUCCAAACUCCUACGGGAGGCAGCAGUGAGGAAUAUUGGUCAAUGGACGCGAGUCUGAACCAGCCAAGUAGCGUGAAGGAUGACUGCCCUAUGGGUUGUAAACUUCUUUUAUAUGGGAAUAAAGUGGUCCACGUGUGGAUUUUUGUAUGUACCAUAUGAAUAAGGAUCGGCUAACUCCGUGCCAGCAGCCGCGGUAAUACGGAGGAUCCGAGCGUUAUCCGGAUUUAUUGGGUUUAAAGGGAGCGUAGGCGGAUUGUUAAGUCAGUUGUGAAAGUUUGCGGCUCAACCGUAAAAUUGCAGUUGAUACUGGCAGUCUUGAGUGCAGUAGAGGUGGGCGGAAUUCGUGGUGUAGCGGUGAAAUGCUUAGAUAUCACGAAGAACUCCGAUUGCGAAGGCAGCUCAC